UUUUAGGUAGGUGUCUAGGCCAAUUGUGGAAAUCUUCAUUGUUAAUUCCAGUUGUAAUAGUCCACGGCCACCCACUUUUCUUGGCAGAUAAAGUCGUUCUAUAUCUGCCUUAGAGUGGUGCAUUCUUUGCAUUGUUAACAAUUUUCGUAUUUUUCUGGCAACGUAAACUUAAGUGUUUUCGCUCACAAACACACACAUC